AGAGUUUGAUCCUGGCUCAGAACGAACGCUGGCGGCGUGGAUAAGACAUGCAAGUCGAACGCUCAUCACGGGGUAGCAAUAUUCUGUGGUGGGAGUGGCGCAAGGGUGCGUAACACGUGGGUAAUUUGCUGUGAAGUUGGGGAUAACUUGCUGAAAGGCAAGCUAAUACCGAAUGUGACUGCUGGGAGGCAUCUCUUGGCUUUUAAAGUUGGGGACCGAAAGGCCUGACGCUUCACGAUAAGCCCGCGGCCUAUCAGCUAGUUGGUGAGGUAACGGCUCACCAAGGCUAAGACGGGUAGCUGGUCUGAGAGGACGACCAGCCACACUGGAACUGAGACACGGUCCAGACACCUACGGGUGGCAGCAGUCGAGAAUUUUUCACAAUGGGCGCAAGCCUGAUGGAGCGACGCCGCGUGGGGGAUGAAGGGCUUCGGCCUGUAACCCCUGUCAUUUGCGAACAAACCUUGCCCGUUAAUACUGGGUGAGUUGAUUGUAGUGAAAGAGGAAGGGACGGCUAACUCUGUGCCAGCAGCCGCGGUAAUACAGAGGUCCCAAGCGUUGUUCGGAUUCACUGGGCGUAAAGGGUGCGUAGGUGGCGGGGUAAGUCUGAUGCGAAAUCUCCGAGCUCAACUCGGAAACCGCAUUGGAAACUACCUUGCUGGAGGGUUGGAGGGGGGACUGGAAUUCUCGGUGUAGCAGUGAAAUGCGUAGAUAUCGAGAGGAACACCAGUGGCGAAGGCGAGUCCCUGGACAACUCCUGACACUGAGGCACGAAAGCUAGGGGAGCAAACAGGAUUAGAUACCCUGGUAGUCC
rnacentral:rRNA from 1 species